rnacentral:rRNA from 1 species
UACGAACUGUGCGAACGUUAUUCGGAAUCACUGGGCUUACAGGGUGCGUAGGCGGCCUUUCAAGUCAGGUGUGAAAUCCCACAGCCCAACUGUGGAACUGCGCUUGAAACUGAUUGGCUUGAGUCAGCUAGAGGUACACGGAACUUCCGGUGGAGCGGUGAAAUGUGUUGAUAUCGGAAGGAACACCAGAGGCGAAAGCGGUGUACUGGAGCUGGUCUGACGCUGAGGCACGAAAGCCAGGGGAGCGAACGGGAUUAGAAACCCCAGUAGUCC